rnacentral:rRNA from 1 species
GCAUAUCAAUAAGCGGAGGAAAAGAAACCAACAGGGAUUGCCUUAGUAGCGGCGAGUGAAGCGGCAAUAGCUCAAAUUUGAAAUCUGGCACCUUCGGUGUCCGAGUUGUAAUUUGAAGAAAGUAUCUUUGGUUUUGGCUCUUGUCUAUGUUCCUUGGAACAGGACGUCACAGAGGGUGAGAAUCCCGUGCGAUGAGAUGCCCAAUUCCAUGUAAAGUUCCUUCGACGAGUCGAGUUGUUUGGGAAUGCAGCUCUAAGUGGGUGGUAAAUUCCAUCUAAAGCUAAAUAUUGGCGAGAGACCGAUAGCGAACAAGUACUGUGAAGGAAAGAUGAAAAGAACUUUGAAAAGAGAGUGAAAAAGUACGUGAAAUUGUUGAAAGGGAAGGGCUUGAGGUCAGACUUGGUUUUACCAGGCCAGCAUCAGUUUGGAUGGCAGGAUAAUAGCUUAGGAAUGUGGCACUGCUUCGGUAGUGUGUUAUAGCCUGGGUUGAUACUGCCUGUCUAGACUGAGGACUGCGUCUUUGACUAGGAUGCUGGCAUAAUGACCUUAAGCCGCCCGUCUUGAAACACGGACC